rfam:Gossypium hirsutum cultivar TM-1 chromosome 15, whole genome shotgun sequence
AAUCAAUGUUGUUAGCAUUUCUAAAUCAACAUUUUAAAACGCUCCCAUGCUUCAUGAAAACUAUCCCCCUCUAACUGUUUGAACAUCAAAAUUUCCCUUUAGCUGGACU